rnacentral:tRNA from 1 species
GGCGCUGUAGAACAGGGGUUAGUUCAGCGGGCUCUCAAUCCGCAAACCGGGGUUCGAGUCCCCGCAGCGCUACCA